rnacentral:rRNA from 1 species
CGCUAGCUACAGGCUUAACACAUGCAAGUCGAGGGGCAGCAUGGUCUUAGCUUGCUAAGGCCGAUGGCGACCGGCGCACGGGUGAGUAACACGUAUCCAACCUGCCGUCUACUCUUGGACAGCCUUCUGAAAGGAAGAUUAAUACAAGAUGGCAUCAUGAGUCCGCAUGUUCACAUGAUUAAAGGUAUUCCGGUAGACGAUGGGGAUGCGUUCCAUUAGAUAGUAGGCGGGGUAACGGCCCACCUAGUCUUCGAUGGAUAGGGGUUCUGAGAGGAAGGUCCCCCACAUUGGAACUGAGACACGGUCCAAACUCCUACGGGAGGCAGCAGUGAGGAAUAUUGGUCAAUGGGCGAGAGCCUGAACCAGCCAAGUAGCGUGAAGGAUGACUGCCCUAUGGGUUGUAAACUUCUUUUAUAAAGGAAUAAAGUCGGGUAUGGAUACCCGUUUGCAUGUACUUUAUGAAUAAGGAUCGGCUAACUCCGUGCCAGCAGCCGCGGUAAUACGGAGGAUCCGAGCGUUAUCCGGAUUUAUUGGGUUUAAAGGGAGCGUAGAUGGAUGUUUAAGUCAGUUGUGAAAGUUUGCGGCUCAACCGUAAAAUUGCAGUUGAUACUGGAUAUCUUGAGUGCAGUUGAGGCAGGCGGAAUUCGUGGUGUAGCGGUGAAAUGCUUAGAUAUCACGAAGAACUCCGAUUGCGAAGGCAGCCUGCUAAGCUGCAACUGACAUUGAGGCUCGAAAGUGUGGGUAUCAAACAGGAUUAGAUACCCUGGUAGUCCACACGGUAAACGAUGAAUACUCGCUGUUUGCGAUAUACUGCAAGCGGCCAAGCGAAAGCGUUAAGUAUUCCACCUGGGGAGUACGCCGGCAACGGUGAAACUCAAAGGAAUUGACGGGGGCCCGCACAAGCGGAGGAACAUGUGGUUUAAUUCGAUGAUACGCGAGGAACCUUACCCGGGCUUAAAUUGCAGAUGAAUUACGGUGAAAGCCGUAAGCCGCAAGGCAUCUGUGAAGGUGCUGCAUGGUUGUCGUCAGCUCGUGCCGUGAGGUGUCGGCUUAAGUGCCAUAACGAGCGCAACCCUUGUUGUCAGUUACUAACAGGUUCCGCUGAGGACUCUGGCAAGACUGCCAUCGUAAGAUGUGAGGAAGGUGGGGAUGACGUCAAAUCAGCACGGCCCUUACGUCCGGGGCUACACACGUGUUACAAUGGGGGGUACAGAGGGCCGCUACCACGCGAGUGGAUGCCAAUCCCCAAAACCUCUCUCAGUUCGGACUGGAGUCUGCAACCCGACUCCACGAAGCUGGAUUCGCUAGUAAUCGCGCAUCAGCCACGGCGCGGUGAAUACGUUCCCGGGCCUUGUACACACCGCCCGUCAAGCCAUGGGAGCCGGGGGUACCUGAAGUGCGUAACCGCGAGGAGCGCCCUAGGGUAAAACUGGUGACUGGGGCU